AAUAAAAUUAUUUUGAAAAAUCAAGAAAAUUUGAAAUAGAAAUAAAAAGCAAAAAUACAAAGAAAACUGAAAAUGGAAGGAAAUAAAAUACAAGAACUUUCCAAGGAAGGCGCCAGUAAUUUCCAAAAUCAAACGGAAAAUAUUAGUUCAACUGAAAUGAAGUCAACAAAUAAAGCUGUUAAUGUUAAUAUGGUUGGCUGCUACUGAAAAUUCUGGAACAAAGGAACAACAAAAUGGGCCACAAUAAUAUUUGGAAAUUCAUUAUUAUUGAGGACGAUCAAAAUCUUUUAGCUGUGCGCUCCAAAUUAUACGCAAUAUCAUUAGUAAUGGGGUAUAAUAUAUUCUA